AAGGGAAGAUGGAGACAAUACUGGAGCAGCAGCGGCGCUAUCAUGAGGAGAAGGAACGGCUCAUGGACGUCAUGGCUAAAGAGAUGCUCACCAAGAAGUCCACGCUCCGGGACCAGAUCAAUUCUGAUCACCGCACUCGGGCCAUGCAAGAUAGGUAUAUGGAGGUCAGUGGGAACCUGAGGGAUUUGUAUGAUGAUAAGGAUGGAUUACGAAAGGAGGAGCUCAAUGCCAUUUCAGGACCCAAUGAGUUUGCUGAAUUCUAUAAUAGACUCAAGCAAAUAAAGGAAUUCCACCGGAAGCACCCAAAUGAGAUCUGUGUGCCAAUGUCAGUGGAAUUUGAGGAACUCCUGAAGGCUCGAGAGAAUCCAAGUGAAGAGGCACAAAACUUGGUGGAGUUCACAGAUGAAGAGGGAUAUGGUCGUUAUCUCGAUCUCCAUGACUGUUACCUCAAGUACAUUAACCUGAAGGCAUCUGAGGUAAGGCCUGGGAAAGGGCAGAGAGGUUCUGAUUCUCGAAGUGAGUCAGGA
rnacentral:sRNA from 1 species